GACGAACGCUGGCGGCGUGCUUAACACAUGCAAGUCGAACGAUGAAGCCGGAGCUUGCUCUGGUGAAUUAGUGGCGAACGGGUGAGUAACACGUGAGUAACCUGCCCUUGACUCUGGGAUAACUGCGGGAAACUGUAGCUAAUACCGGAUACGACCCUCGGAGGCAUCUCCUGGGGGUGGAAAGAAUUUCGGUCAAGGAUGGACUCGCGGCCUAUCAGCUAGUUGGUGAGGUAAAGGCUCACCAAGGCGACGACGGGUAGCCGGCCUGAGAGGGGGACCGGCCACACGGGGACUGAGAAACGGCCCAGACUCCUACGGGAGGCAGCAGUGGGGAAUAUUGCACAAUGAGCGCAAGCCUGAUGCAGCAACGCCGCGUGAGGGAUGACGGCCUUCGGGUUGUAAACCUCUUUUAGCAGGGAAGAAGCGAAAGUGACGGUACCUGCAGAAAAAGCACCGGCUAACUACGUGCCAGCAGCCGCAGUAA
rnacentral:rRNA from 1 species